rnacentral:piRNA from 1 species
UAAGAAUCCUACUAACAGAAAUCAAGAC